rnacentral:rRNA from 1 species
AGUGAACGCUGGCGGUAGGCCUAACACAUGCAAGUCGAACGGCAGCACAGUAAGAGCUUGCUCUUACGGGUGGCGAGUGGCGGACGGGUGAGGAAUACAUCGGAAUCUACUUUUUCGUGGGGGAUAACGUAGGGAAACUUACGCUAAUACCGCAUACGACCUACGGGUGAAAGCGGGGGAUCUUCGGACCUUGCGCGAUUGAACGAGCCGAUGUCGGAUUAGCUAGUUGGCGGGGUAAAGGCCCACCAAGGCGACGAUCCGUAGCUGGUCUGAGAGGAUGAUCAGCCACACUGGAACUGAGACACGGUCCAGACUCCUACGGGAGGCAGCAGUGGGGAAUAUUGGACAAUGGGCGCAAGCCUGAUCCAGCCAUACCGCGUGGGUGAAGAAGGCCUUCGGGUUGUAAAGCCCUUUUGUUGGGAAAGAAAAGCAGCAGGUUAAUACCCCGCUGUUCUGACGGUACCCAAAGAAUAAGCACCGGCUAACUUCGUG